rnacentral:rRNA from 1 species
UACGUAGGGAGCAAGCGUUGUCCGGAAUCAUUGGGCGUAAAGCGCGCGUAGGUGGCUUCGUAAGUCCGUUGUGAAAGUCAAAGGCUCAACCUUUGAAAGCCGAUGGAUACUGCGGAGCUAGAGUACGGAAGAGGCGAGUGGAAUUCCUGGUGUAGCGGUGGAAUGCGCAGAUAUCAGGAGGAACACCAAUAGCGAAGGCAGAUCUCUGGGACGUUACUGACGCUGAGACGCGAAAGCGUGGGGAGCAAACAGG